GUUCGGCUUUGUACUUGUUUUGGCUUUCAAAAUUUUGUAUCUGGGCGUCACUAGUAAGUCUUGUGUGGACGAAGUGCACUUAUGGCCUAUUAAAUUUUAAACCUGGUGCCUUUUGUUAGCUAUUAUUCGUAUGUUUCCUUGUCAAAUAUGUUCUCCUGUUUGUUUGUAUUGUAGUCCUGUAAUGUUGUGUUGUCAUUUUAAUGGAACAUGG
rnacentral:lncRNA from 1 species